rnacentral:rRNA from 1 species
GACGAACGCUGGCGGCGUGCUUAACACAUGCAAGUCGUACGGUAAGGCCCUUUCGGGGGUCCACGAGUGGCGAACGGGUGAGUAACACGUGAGUAACCUGCCCACAACUUUGGGAUAACGCUAGGAAACUGGUGCUAAUACUGGAUAUGUGCUCCUGCUGCAUGGUGGGGGUUGGAAAGCUCCGGCGGUUGUGGAUGGACUCGCGGUCUAUCAGCUUGUUGGUGGGGUAGUGGCCUACCAAGGCGGCGACGGGUAGCCGGCCUGAGAGGGUGACCGGCCACAUUGGGACUGAGAUACGGCCCAGACUCCUACGGGAGGCAGCAGUGGGGAAUAUUGCACAAUGGGCGCAAGCCUGAUGCAGCAACGCCGCGUGCGGGAUGACGGCCUUCGGGUUGUAAACCGCUUUCAGCAGGGACGAAGCUUUUUGUGACGGUACCUGCAGAAGAAGCACCGGCUAACUACGUG